rnacentral:rRNA from 1 species
CCCGCCUGCCCUGUGACCAAAAGUUUAACGGCCGCGGUAUCUUGACCGUGCGAAGGUAGCGCAAUCACUUGUCUUUUAAAUGGAGACCUGUAUGAAUGGCAUAACGAGGGCUAAGCUGUCUCCUUUUUCCAGUCAAUGAAAUUGAUCUGCCCGUGCAGAAGCGGGCAUGAAAACAUAAGACGAGAAGACCCUAUGGAGCUUUAGACACCAGAAGAGCCUGCGUUCAAUUAACCUUAAUCACAAGACCAAACAAAGCAGCCCCUGUUCAAUUGUCUUCGGUUGGGGCGACCGCGGGGGAACAAAAAUCCCCCACGUGGAAUAAGGGAACCCCCUUUAAAAACAGGGCCACAGCCCUAAUAAACAGAACAUCUGACCAUCAAUGAUCCGGCACCAAGCCGAUCAACGGACCCAGUUACCCUAGGGAUAACAGCGCAAUCCUCUUCUAGAGCCCAUAUCGACAAGAGGGUUUACGACCUCGAUGUUGGAUCAGGACAUCCUAAUGGUGCAGCCGCUAUUAAGGGUUCGUUUGUUCAACGAUUAAAGUCCUACGUGAUCUG